GUGGGGAAUAUUGCACAAUGGGCGAAAGCCUGAUGCAGCGACGCCGCGUGAGCGAAGAAGUAUUUCGGUAUGUAAAGCUCUAUCAGCAGGGAAGAUAAUGACGGUACCUGACUAAGAAGCACCGGCUAAAUACGUGCCAGCAGCCGCGGUAAUACGUAUGGUGCAAGCGUUAUCCGGAUUUACUGGGUGUAAAGGGAGCGCAGGCGGUGCGGCAAGUCUGAUGUGAAAGCCCGGGGCUCAACCCCGGUACUGCAUUGGAAACUGUCGUACUAGAGUGUCGGAGGGGUAAGCGGAAUUCCUAGUGUAGCGGUGAAAUGCGUAGAUAUUAGGAGGAACACCAGUGGCGAAGGCGGCUUGCUGGACUGUAACUGACACUGAGGCUCGAAAGCGUGGGGAGCAAACAGGAUUAGAAACCCGAGUAGUCC
rnacentral:rRNA from 1 species